AUUGAACGCUGGCGGCAGGCCUAACACAUGCAAGUCGAGCGGAUGAAGGGAGCUUGCUCCUGGAUUCAGCGGCGGACGGGUGAGUAAUGCCUAGGAAUCUGCCUGGUAGUGGGGGAUAACGUCCGGAAACGGGCGCUAAUACCGCAUACGUCCUGAGGGAGAAAGUGGGGGAUCUUCUGACCUCACGCUAUCAGAUGAGCCUAGGUCGGAUUAGCUAGUUGGUGGGUAAAGGCCUACCAAGGCGACGAUCCGUAACUGGUCUGAGAGGAUGAUCAGUCACACUGGAACUGAGACACGGUCCAGACUCCUACGGGAGGCAGCAGUGGGGAAUAUUGGACAAUGGGCGAAAGCCUGAUCCAGCCAUGCCGCGUGUGUGAAGAAGGUCUUCGGAUUGUAAAGCACUUUAAGUUGGGAGGAAGGGCAGUAAGUUAAUACCUUGCUGUUUUGACGUUACCAACAGAAUAAGCACCGGCUAACUUCGUG
rnacentral:rRNA from 1 species